rnacentral:lncRNA from 1 species
GAAUCCAAAAUGACACUAAAUAACAGAAAGUAAAAUGUCGCUAGUGGCCAUUGGCCUUAUUACAUCAUUAAAGAAAAUGAAAGACUCCUAACUAUUUCGUCCCAAAAGGACCUUCGCAAAUUCAGCAUCUUUGUCUCCCUCGAACAGCUUACCCAGCUUGCACAGUCCUAGCAGUAGAUAAGCUCACGCCAAAUGUCUGCCUGAAUUCCCUUCAGUGUUUCGACAGUAUUCAAUCCUCAUGAUGAACUUUCCUUCUCGCUCCACUAUACCUCGCUCAAAAUACCCUAAUCGCUUGUUGGCGUUGAAAGUCAUAUCCUUCCAUUCCUCAAUCAACUUCCGAUAGGCCUCUUAUAUUCCCGAUGCUCACUUUCACACUCUCGAAUCCUCUUUGUAAUUAACCCAUGCUUCAGCUUUCUCAUCGAUGACCCUAUGACCUCAGAUAAACCCGUGCUGACCCAUACCAUUGUGAUUGUCUUCCAACCAACCCGAAUAGUGCGGCACACAACCAGCGUGAUACCUGUCUGGCUCAAUAGAUUCUUUCCUCAAAAUGAGCUUCCAGUACCACAUGUGCUGAGCUUGGCACUUGUGAGGGCUAUCGUCGUCCUAGAAGUCAGCCCUAAAGUGACUCAUUUUUU